AACGCAGCGAAGGGCGAUAAGUAAUGUGAAUUGCAGAAUUCAGUGAAUCAUCGAAUCUUUGAACGCACAUUGCGCCCGCCAGUAUUCUGGCGGGCAUGCCUGUUCGAGCGUCAUUUCAACCAUCAAGCCCCCGGCUUGUGUUGGGGGACCUGCGGCUGCCGCAGGCCCUGAAAACCAGUGGCGGGCUCGCUAGUCACUCCGAGCGUAGUAAUACAUCUCGCUCAGGGCGUGCUGCGGGUUCCGGCCGUUAAAAGCCUUAUUUACCCAAGGUUGACCUCGGAUCAGGUAGGAAGACCCGCUGGACUUAA
rnacentral:rRNA from 1 species